UUAAGAUCAAAUGCUUUUUUUUUUUUUUUAGCAGAAAAUGAGGUUUUUUUGGUUUUAGAACCAAAGCCUUUUCCUUUCAUAAUGGGCGUCUUCUCAUGAGAUUAUGAAAAUCCCCAUUCCGAACCUCAGACAGCACAACAACAACAACAGAGAUCUGAGUUGUGAUGGAAGUUUCCUCUCUUCAGCUCAACACAAGAGAUUUUUUUUGACAAAAGGAGAAUUAAAUAUUUUUUUGACAAAUCGAAAGAGAAUUAAACAGACAGAAACAGAAAAAUUACAAACAAAGAAUACAAGAGACAAUCUUCGUCUGAACCAGGAGAGAAAAGGGCACUGAAACUAAUCAGACAGAGCAGCAUUAACAGUGGAAGACCAAACUUUUCUGAUGAUCCAGACACUUUCAUUCAGAGUGACUCACAGACGAGAAAAAAGCAGCUCCUUUCACCGGGCCAGCAGAACUCCCUGAUUAAUCACUGUAUAUUUUAUAUUGUUUGUAGUUUUGUGUUAUUAUAUAUUAAGAAAUUAAAGACCUGUAUAAUCAACCCAUAUAAGCUUCAUUCACUUUAAGUUGUUAAUAUAACAAAUUAUUGGAGUGAAUCAAUUGUGACCCUGGACCACAAAACCAGUCAUAAGGGUCAAUAUUU